AAUCAAACAAUUAUUAUCAUCCGACAAAAUUGGAACGAUAUAGAGAAGAUCAGCAUGACUCCUACGCAAGAAUGAUACGCACAAAUUGAAAAAUGGUUCAAAUUUUU